rnacentral:rRNA from 1 species
AACGAACGCUGGCGGCAUGCCUAACACAUGCAAGUCGAACGCUCCGCAAGGGGAGUGGCGAACGGGUGAGUAACGCGUGGGAACCUGCCCAGUAGUUGGGGAUAACCGCGGGAAACUGCGGCUAAUACCGAAUACGCCCUAAGGGGAAAGGAUUUAUCGCUAUUGGAGGGGCCCGGCGUCGGAUUAGCUGGUUGGUGAGGUAACGGCUCACCAAGGCGACGAUCCGUAGCUGGUCUGAGAGGAUGAUCAGCCACACUGGGACUUAGACACGGCCCAGACUCCUACGGGAGGGCAGCAGUGGGGAAUAUUGGACAAUGGGGGCAACCCUGAUCCAGCAAUGCCGCGUGAGUGAUGAAGGCCUUAGGGCUGUAAAG